AUAUUCUGAUAUUCAGCGUUUGAUUUUAUCGUGCAGAUCGGAGAUAUGUGAUUUAGCCUGAUACCCCCAACCAUGUGUGUGCUUGUGUGAGUGCAUACGGCAAAGCAAAUAAAGCUUGAAGAUUAAUCACUGAAUGAAAAAUCACCAUCACAUAACCAAAAGUGCACAAUCAGUGCCAUAGUCAUACAUCAGAUCAGAUACAAAUCAAAUACAAUCCUCCAGAAUUGGAAAGAAAUACAGACAAGUGAAUUCCGUCAACAAGCCUGACGGUAAUCCAACACAAAUGAAAGAUCUAGCCAGAUGAGGGUCCCACAGAUGGCCCUAUCUCAUCUUCCAUCCUCGCGAACUCUGCGGCGAACCUGAGCUCUGUGUUCUCCUGUUGUAGUCUCCCCACCUCCUUCUGAUGAAUCUUCAUCUGCCUGAAGUAGUGGUCUCUCUCUGCCUUGUAGUGAUCUCUCUCAGCCCUGAUCUUUGCUUUCUCCGCUUCCCACUCUGCAGCGAGGACUCUGGCUCUCUCAUCUCUCUGAUCCCUGACUAGGAUUUGCCUCCUCUUCUCAUCUUCAAUGACCUUUGAUGCUCUGAACAGCUUCUCCUUUGUGAUGUCAUGCUCCCUGUU
rnacentral:lncRNA from 1 species